ACGAAACAGGCCAACAGCAGUUGAUCAUAAAAAAUUAACUAGGUAAAGUCAAUUUAUAUAUGACGCCCUAGUUCGGCCAAACCCGGGCCCCACUAUAUGGAACUUUAAAUCACGGCCAGAUGUCAUACAGCCUGGAUUCGAACCAGGUACGAUAGUGACGCGGAGAUGCAGUACCUUAGACCGCUGCGCCACUCGGUAAACCAAUACAGUAAUUGACCAGCUAACUAAACAGUUUUUUUUUUCAAAACCUUUUACAAACAAGUUUCAAGUGCAACUAUAUUAUUAUCAACUGAUAGACCAUGGUAUGAUAGUCUCUGGCUGAAAUCAUUGCUCCUAUGAGCUAUUAUAGCUACUGCCUAGCCUACUGAAUACAAUAUUUGUGUAGUCUCGAUUCCAAAUUGAGCAGCAGCUGCUGAAAUAAAUGAAGUACAUUGGGGAAAAAAGCAAAAGAAAACUGCAAGACUGAAUUGGAGACAAAACAAGCAAUAAACUAAGAAGAUAGGCUUUGGAAAAAAUUUCUGCCAAUGGAUGGAUCUUCUUUUCUAAGGGUUGUUGAUGACAUCAAGGGGAAAAAGGCUGGUAAUCGCGGUGAGCUUUACACUGUCAUAAAUACUAUUAUAGUGCACUGUCUAUUAUCUACUGUCUAUAGAGCCACUGUAUGGUCCAUAAUCAAAAAAAUGAAGUAUGCAUUUCAGAUUCUAUUGACAACGCUGGAAAAUAACUACUCUACAUCUUCCUACACCAUAAAAGGAGGAUAAAGGCCAACUCAUUGUUUGUAGAAACUUUGACCCAGCCCAGCCAGCCCAUGUUAGACCAGACAGAGAAGUCACCUGUGUGGUCUGAUGACCUAUGUGACAGAACAAUACACCCUUUAUCUGCACUGUAUGCCUAAAGCUCUUACCUGACUUCAUCAUGUAGGCAUGUGUCUGAGUUGUUUUUCAUAUUCCAUUCUCAAGAGCACUCAGAAAAUCCUGUUAUGCAGUACCUGACUAAUGCAUCGGCUAUUUUCUUAUGGAUCAUAAUGUAUGCAUUACAAUUAAUAAUAUCUGUGUGUCUGCUGGACAUAUCUAGUUGUUUUUGACUUACCUUUCAAGAUAAACUUUUAGAAACUC